GUUCCCGUACGAUCACUGAUGUUAAGCAACGUCUAGCCUGGUCAGUAACUAGAUGGGUGACCGCUUGGAAAUACCCGGUGCUGUAAA